rnacentral:rRNA from 1 species
UACCAGCACCCCGAGUGGUCGGGACGUUUUAUUGGGCCUAAAGCAUCCGUAGCCGGUUCUACAAGUCCUCCGUUAAAUCCAACUGCUUAACAGGUGGGCUGCGGAAGAUACUAUAGAGCUAGGAGGCGGGAGAGGCAAGCGGUACUCGAUGGGUAGGGGUAAAAUCCGUUGAUCCAUUGAAGACCACCAGUGGCGAAGGCGGCUUGCCAGAACGCGCUCGACGGUGAGGGAUGAAAGCUGGGGGAGCAAAGCCGG